AACGAACGCUGGCGGCAUGCCUAACACAUGCAAGUCGAACGAUGCCUUCGGGCAUAGUGGCGCGCGGGUGCGUAACGCGUGGGAAUCUGCCUUUCGGUUCGGAAUAACUCAGGGAAACUUGAGCUAAUACCGGAUAACGUCGCAAGACCAAAGAUUUAUCACCGAAAGAUGAGCCCGCGUAGGAUUAGCUAGUUGGUGAGGUAAAGGCUCACCAAGGCGACGAUCCUUAGCUGGUCUGAGAGGAUGAUCAGCCACACUGGGACUGAGACACGGCCCAGACUCCUACGGGAGGCAGCAGUGGGGAAUAUUGGACAAUGGGCGAAAGCCUGAUCCAGCAAUGCCGCGUGAGUGAUGAAGGCCUUAGGGUUGUAAAGCUCUUUUACCCGGGAAGAUAAUGACGGUACCGGGAGAAUAAGCCCCGGCUAACUCCGUG
rnacentral:rRNA from 1 species